UAAUUGAAGAGUUUGAUCAUGGCUCAGAUUGAACGCUGGCGGCAGGCCUAACACAUGCAAGUCGAGCGGAAACGAAGAGGUGCUUGCACCUCUGGCGUCGAGCGGCGGACGGGUGAGUAAUGCUUGGGAAUAUGCCUUAUGGUGGGGGACAACAGUUGGAAACGACUGCUAAUACCGCAUGAUGUCUACGGACCAAAGUGGGGGACCUUCGGGCCUCACGCCAUA
rnacentral:rRNA from 1 species